GCUUUUGUAUAUGGUUAUCGGUUAGGGAUCAGCUGAAAUGUAUGUGGGGAGAAUGGGUCAGCUAUGCAAAAAGAUAUUUUGUGAAGACAUGCAUGAAGUAUGCAAUAUGCUAUGUAGGCCAUGUAUGUUGCUCUCUUUUUUAUGUCAUUCUCCAUCUUUUCCCAUCCUUUCCUUUUUCCUUUUUUCUUUUUUUUUUCUUCAUUUUUUCUUUUCUUUCUUUCCCCCACUAACAAGUUUUGGCAUGUAACUGGUGAUCGAGGUAUUCCUGCAGGAUUCCACGAACGUAAGAGAAUCAUGUAUUUGUAAAAGGCAAAUACCAGAGGAUAUGAAGCUGAAAUGAG
rnacentral:lncRNA from 1 species